GACGAACGCUGGCGGCGUGCCUAAUACAUGCAAGUAGAACGCUGAAGGAGGAGCUUGCUCUUCUGGAUGAGUUGCGAACGGGUGAGUAACGCGUAGGUAACCUGCCUGGUAGCGGGGGAUAACUAUUGGAAACGAUAGCUAAUACCGCAUAACAGUAGAUGUUGCAUGACAUUUGCUUAAAAGGUGCAAUUGCACCACUACCAGAUGGACCUGCGUUGUAUUAGCUAGUUGGUGGGGUAACGGCUCACCAAGGCGACGAUACAUAGCCGACCUGAGAGGGUGGUCGGCCACACUGGGACGGAGACACGGCCCAGACUCCUACGGGAGGCAGCAGUAGGGAAUCUUCGGCAAUGGACGGAAGUCUGACCGAGAAACGCCGCGGGAGUGAAGAAGGUUGUCGGAUCGGAAAGCUCGGUUGUAAGAGAAGAACGAGUGUGAGAGUGGAAAGUUCACACUGUGACGGUAUCUGACCAGAAAGGGACGGCUAACUACGUG
rnacentral:rRNA from 1 species